GCUAACUACGGGGCAGGAGCCGCGGUAAGACGCAGGGUGCUGGCGGUAAUAGGAAUGACUGGGCGGAAAGCGGGAGCAGGCGGUUGUGUAAGUCUGACGUGAAAUCCCCGGGCUUAACCUGGGAAUGGAGUUGGAGACUGCACGGCUAGAGUGUGUCAGAGGGGGGUAGAAUUCCACGUGUAGCAGUGAAAUGCGUAGAUAUGUGGAGGAAUACCGAUGGCGAAGGCAGCCCCCUGGGAUAACACUGACGCUCAUGCACGAAAGCGUGGGGAGCAAACAGGAUUAGAUACCCCAGUAGUC
rnacentral:rRNA from 1 species